AAUAGAGGCGCGAAAAACAAUAUCGCCGGGGAGGCACUCCGAUGCCGCGGAACCGGACGAAAGGGUUUUUUGCCGAAACGGUGCGCGGCCGGAGCGGCGGAUCGUUGGGCGCCGGGAGAACAUCUCGGCGACUGUCACAUGAAUAUGUGGAGUGCUAUCGU
rnacentral:ncRNA from 1 species